rnacentral:rRNA from 1 species
CCUACGGGUGGCAGCAGUGGGGAAUAUUGGACAAUGGGGGCAACCCUGAUCCAGCCAUGCCGCGUGUGUGAAGAAGGCCCUCGGGUUGUAAAGCACUUUCAGUGAGGAAGAACGCCUGGUGGUUAAUACCCAUCAGGAAAGACAUCACUCACAGAAGAAGCACCGGCUAACUCCGUGCCAGCAGCCGCGAUAAUACGGAGGGUGCGAGCGUUAAUCGGAAUUACUGGGCGUAAAGCGCGCGUAGGUGGCUUGAUAAGCCGGUUGUGAAAGCCCCGGGCUCAACCUGGGAACGGCAUCCGGAACUGUCAAGCUAGAGUGCAGGAGAGGAAGGUAGAAUUCCCGGUGUAGCGGUGAAAUGCGUAGAGAUCGGGAGGAAUACCAGUGGCGAAGGCGGCCUUCUGGACUGACACUGACACUGAGGUGCGAAAGCGUGGGUAGCAAACAGGAUUAGAUACCCUAGUAGUC